GUAAACAAUCUUAAAUUUAAAACAUGUGUUUGUCUCUUUAUAGGGCAGCUGAAACAGAUUGCCCCGGGGAGCGAUGUUUCUUUAAGCUGCUCAUCUGGAGAAGCUCCCAGUGGACAACUUCUAAUCAACAACACAGUGAGAGUGAAAUUUAAAGGAACAGAAUAUCUACUUAUAAAAAACUUUCAGAAACAGAAUGAAGGCCGAUAUUUCUGCCACAAACAAGAGGACUAUAGAAAUUUGGAACUGAAACCUGCUUCAACAAACGAUGAGACGGUUUUGUUUCGUGGAAGUGAGGGAGAUUCACUUUACCUCUUCUGUAAAAGUAUUCUAAACUCAUUACCAAUGGUCACCUGGUUAUGGAGACCCAACCACGAAGAUAAAAAUAUCAACCUUAGACAGAACCCUACACACUUUGGAAAACGACUAUACCUCAGGAAUUACAACAACGACUUUUCUGCAUCCAUCAGACCUGUAGACUGGAGCGACUCUGGGAAAUAUGAAUGUCAACUUUCCGGCCUUUCACCUGUCAGGACUGUCUUUGAAGUCGUGGUGGUGAGAGGUACCUUAAUAUAUCUUAUAUAUUUAUAUUAUAUUCCGAUUAUCUGGAAACCUCACAUUUUUAUACUAAAAUUUCCAUCUGUCUCCUCCACAGUUCAUGCCGACCCUCAGCACCUAAACGAGGGGGAUGAUGUCAAAUUAAAAUGUGACAUUUCUCAUCAGACAUCACAAGUACAACUGUACUGGAUCAACAUGAAGACACAAGAGAACUUUCCAAACCCACAUAAUCUUAAGAAUGUUGAGAUCAGCCAGAUGAGCUGGGCGUGUGCUGUGUUUAACACAUCUGUACUAAAAGCUCUUAUUCCACUAACUCUCAACAUCAGUCAGCCCCUCAGCACAACUGCAACAUUACCAUCUCCGACCACUCACGAUCACACCUCGGCUGAGUCAACAGUUCUGCUACAGUCUAGCAGAAACACCAACGACACUCGCUGGACUACAACAGGAAACACCCCACCUCCAAGAAACACAACAAGGACCGUCUUAAUCAGCAUCUGCACUUCAUUCUUCUUCACCCUUAUUUUAGUGCUCGGUGCUGUGUGCUGGAGGACAUGGAGAAGAAAGAAUUUAGAGGAAGAGUGUCCUCAAUGUGAGAGAGAGAGCGUUACAUACGCUGAGAUGAGCUUCAGACAGAGAUCAGAGAGAAGGAAAGAAGGAGAGAAGCUUUCUGUGAGUGAAAGCGUUACUUAUGCAGAAGUGAGCUUCAGGCAGAGAGCAGGUGGGUCACUUUUAUAUCAAACACUGUUGAGCUGAUGAAGUGUAUUAAAAAUAGCAGAAUUUAGGACCAUCCCUCAG
rnacentral:lncRNA from 1 species